rnacentral:rRNA from 1 species
ACGCACGCUGGCGGCAUGCCUCACCCCUGCCAGUCGCACGAGACCUUCGGGUCUAGUGGCGCCCGGGUGCGUAACGCGUGGGAACCUGCCCUUAGGUUCGGAAUAACUCCCCGAAAGGGGUGCUAAUACCGGAUAAUGUCUUCGGACCAAAGAUUUAUCGCCUUUGGAUGGGCCCGCGUUGGAUUAGCUAGUUGGUAGGGUAAAAGCCUACCAAGGCGACGAUCCAUAGCUGGUCUGAGAGGAUGAUCAGCCACACUGGGACUGAGACACGGCCCAGACUCCUACGGGAGGCAGCAGUGGGGAAUAUUGGACAAUGGGCGAAAGCCUGAUCCAGCAAUGCCGCGUGAGUGAUGAAGGCCUUAGGGUUGUAAAGCUCUUUUACCCGGGAUGAUAAUGACAGUACCGGGAGAAUAAGCUCCGGCUAACUCCGUG